rnacentral:misc_RNA from 1 species
UCUGGAGACAGCGAUGGGAGCUAUGCGGCUACACAUCAGGAGUUCUAUGGUUCUAAAUGUUCUGUUCAAUAUAACUAAUUGGACCACAGUUCUAUCUCAGGCGAAUAUAAACCACAAGUACGACUUCUUUGCGAUUGCACGGGCUACGUUCGCAAAGAGAUAUUGUAUGCCUCAGAUGACAAGACUUGUGCGGUGGUUAAAGUUCAAAGGUAUUAUGGCCCGUCAUUUCCCACCUUCGACCUUCUUCUAAAAAACUCCAAGAUAAAUGAAGGGCCCAGCAAAGAGUGUCAAAACAAGUUCCAUAAAAUAAAACAAACUCCUCAAUACAGCAACAGCCGAAAAAGCAGAAAUGUGUAUAAGAAAAAAUGUCCGUCAUUAUACAACAGCGCAGCCAACGUUGCCUAACCAGACAAGGCAAAGGAUACCCUACUCCACUGAAAGUAUAUUUGCACAACACAUUCUCUUUUCUUUCUGCAGUAUACUAACCUCUGCGGCUAUUUUCGAAGGGUUUGCUUGAAAAAUAAAAUAAACGGC